rnacentral:lncRNA from 1 species
AGGUUUUUCUUGCCUAUUCAUUUAGGAGAUUGAAAUUUAAAUCCAGAUAUAUUUUUCUAAUGUAGGUCUUUUAAUAUGUACCUUAAUGGCAUAUUUGUAGGCCUCAAUAACAAGAAGUGGGUCAUUUAGUACUAACAAUGACUAAAUUUUCAUUAUUUUUCUAAUCCUAAGGAUUAGGUAUGUACCAAACGCCCCUCGC